CAGAGAUAGAAGAUAAGGCUCUGCCCACAGUCUCCAGGCCGCAGCAUCUGGUGAGGAAGGGAAGGUGUAUGGCUGCAUUGUUUUUCUCUUGGUGUUCAUCUGGAAUAGAGCAGGAAAUUGCUUUGGAGAUGAGGAAACAAACUUACGGAGACCUAAGAGACUGAAGACAUCUGGCUUGGACUACUCUGAUGGUAAAAUUGAAAGUACACCUAAAUUUGCUUUGUUACAGUAUUCUCUUCAGAGGACAAGAGAAGAUGUUACAUUCUCUGCAUGAGGACAAUUCUGCAGCAUCAAAAUCGAAUAAUAUUUGUUUUCUGGCAGCAGAAUUUUGUAUCAUAUUUCUAAAGACAGUAAGCACUUGGGUGGACGUCAAUGAAUACUAAACACUAAUUGAUCUGAUACAGCCGUAUGCACAUACACAGAUAUACACAGUGGCUUGUAAUGGUUGAAAAAUUACAGUUUGGUUCUAUUAAAAGAUCUGUCACUUUUAGGUCAGAGUGGGAUUUUGGAGGGAGAGUCUCCCACAAUAGAAAACUAUCCUGACAACAGUAGUGUUUUGAGGUUGUUUGUUGUUUGGCUUGUUGAUGAUGCUUAGCUAAGGAGACACUUCCUUUCAGAUUCUGUCUUCCAAACCCCAGGGCUCUGUUCUGGGCAGUUCAGCCUAAUGGAAUUAAGCCUGACAUGUUUCAACUCUAUUUCUUGAUAAAAUAAACAUAAAACAAUGGUUUAGAUUUCGAAUAAAACUCUUGAAGCAUGGGGG
rnacentral:lncRNA from 1 species